rnacentral:rRNA from 1 species
GCCCAGACUCCUACGGGAGGCAGCAGUGGGGAAUAUUGGACAAUGGGGGGAACCCUGAUCCAGCGACGCCGCGUGAGUGAAGAAGUAUUUCGGUAUGUAAAGCUCUAUCAGCAGGGAAGAAAGAAAUGACGGUACCUGAGUAAGAAGCACCGGCUAAAUACGUGCCAGCAGCCGCGGUAAUACGGAGGAUGCGAGCGUUAUCCGGAUUUAUUGGGUUUAAAGGGUGCGUGGGCGGGCUUUUAAGUCAGCGGUAAAAAUUCGGGGCUCAACCCCGUCCGGCCGUUGAAACUGGGGGCCUUGAGUGGGCGAGAAGAAGGCGGAAUGCGUGGUGUAGCGGUGAAAUGCUUAGAUAUUGCGCAGAACUCCGAUUGCGAAGGCAGCAUACCGGCGGCGAUCUGACGCUGAGGCACGAAAGCGUGGGGAUCGAACAGGAUUAGAUACCCCUGUAGAA